GUAAACGGCGGCCGUAACUAUAACGGUCCUAAGGUAGCGAAAUUCCUUGUCGGGUAAGUUCCGACCCGCACGAAAGGUGUAACGAUUUGGGCACUGUCUCAACGAGGGACCCGGUGAAAUUGAAAUACCUGUGAAGAUGCAGGUUACCCGCGACUGGACAGAAAGACCCCAUGGAGCUUUACUGUAACCUGACAUUGGGUUUUGAUACAUUACGUACAGGAUAGGUGGGAGGCAUGGAAAGCUGGACGCUAGUCUGGCUGGAGCCGACGUUGGGAUACCACCCUUGAUGUAUUGAAAUUCUAACCGCGAGAGUAACGAAAUCCGGGACAGUGUCAGGCGGGCAGUUUGACUGGGGCGGUCGCCUCCGAAAGAGUAACGGAGGCGCCCAAAGGUUCCCUCAGCGCGGCCGGAAAUCGCGCGAAGAGUGUAAAGGCAGAAGGGAGCUUGACUGCGAGUCAAACACGACGAGCAGGUACGAAAGUAGGGCUUAGUGAUCCGGUGGUACCGAGUGGAAGGGCCAUCGCUCAACGGAUAAAAGCUACCCUGGGGAUAACAGGCUAAUCUCUCCCAAGAGUCCAUAUCGACGGGGAGGUUUGGCACCUCGAUGUCGGCUCAUCACAUCCUGGGGCUGAAGUCGGUCCCAAGGGUUGGGCUGUUCGCCCAUUAAAGUGGUACGUGAGCUGGGUUCAGAACGUCGUGAGACAGUUCGGUCCCUAUCCAUCGCGGGCGCAAGAGAUUUGAAGGGGGCUGCUCCUAGUACGAGAGGACCGGAGUGGACGAACCGCUGGUGUACCAAUUAUCCCGCCAGGGGUACAGUUGGGUAGCUACGUUCGGAAAGGAUAAACGCUGAAAGCAUCUAAGCGUGAAACCAGCCUUAAGAUGAGAUCUCUCAUAGAGCAAUCUAGUAAGACACCUUAAAGAAGAUGAGGUUGAUAGGUCGGGAGUGUAAGUACAGCAAUGUAUUGAGCGGACCGAUACUAAUAUGUCGAGGGCUUGACUUA
rnacentral:rRNA from 2 species